CCAGCACCCGCGGUAAUUCCAGCUCCAAUAGCGUAUAUUAAAGUUGUUGCAGUUAAAAAGCUCGUAGUUGGAUUUGUGGCGUGUGCGUGGGCGUCCAUUUGUUUGGUUCUGCCUGUGCGGCGCCAUCCUUGGGUGGAUCUUGUGUGGCAUUAGGUUGUCGCGCAGGGGAUGCCCAUCGUUUACUGUGAAAAAAUUAGAGUGUUCAAAGCAGGCUUAUGCCGUUGAAUAUAUUAGCAUGGAAUAAUAAGAUAGGUCUUUGGUCCUAUUUUGUUGGUUUGCGGGCCAGAGAAAUGAUUAACAGGGACAGUUGGGGGUAUUCGUAUUCCAUUGUCAGAGGUGAAAUUCUUGGAUUUCUGGAAGACGAACUACUGCGAAAGCAUUUACCAAGGAUGUUUUCAUUAAUCAAGAACGAAAGU
rnacentral:rRNA from 1 species